rnacentral:rRNA from 1 species
AUUGAACGCUGGCGGCGUGCUUAACACAUGCAAGUCGUGCGGUAACAGGCGUAGCAAUACGUGCUGACGAGCGGCGAACGGGUGCGUAAUACAUGGGAAUCUGCCUUUUAGUGGGGAAUAACCCGGCGAAAGCCGGGCUAAUGCCGCAUAAGAUCUUCGGAUGAAAGCGGGGGAUCGUAAGACCUCGCGCUGAUAGAUGAGCCCAUGCCGGAUUAGCAGUUGGUGAGGUAACGGCUCACCAAGGCGACGAUCCGUAGCUGGUCUGAGAGGACGGCCAGCCACACUGGGACUGAGACACGGCCCAGACUCCUACGGGAGGCAGCAGUGGGGAAUAUUGGACAAUGGGGAAACCCUGAUCCAGCGACGCCGCGUGUGUGAAGAAGGCCUGC